CUUUACUGUAGCUUUGUAUUGGACUUUGAACAGAUCUGUGUAGGAUAGGUGGGAGGCUUUGAAGCCGGGACGCUAGUUUCGGUGGAGCCAACGUUGAAAUACCACCCUGGUGUGUUUGAGGUUCUAACCUAGGUCCAUUAUCUGGAUCGGGGACAGUGCAUGGUAGGCAGUUUGACUGGGGCGGUCUCCUCCCAAAGUGUAACGGAGGAGUUCGAAGGUACGCUAGGUACGGUCGGACAUCGUGCUAAUAGUGCAAUGGCAUAAGCGUGCUUAACUGCGAGACUGACAAGUCGAGCAGAUGCGAAAGCAGGACAUAGUGAUCCGGUGGUUCUGUAUGGAAGGGCCAUCGCUCAACGGAUAAAAGGUA
rnacentral:rRNA from 1 species